GCCUGUGUGGCGCAAUGGUUAGCGCGCAAGACUUCUAAUCUUGAGGCUGCGGGUUCGAGUCCCGCCACGGGUU
rnacentral:tRNA from 1 species